GUCAUGGAGCUACCAGCGGGCUGGACAACCGGCAGCAGUUCAUCAGAUGAUCACACCUUUGGAUGUUUGCUCCAGUCCGAAGCUCUGUG
rnacentral:sRNA from 14 species